AGUAUAUCAGAACACCAGAAAACGUGAUAUAGAAAGUAGAACAGGAAAAUUCAUCGUCAUAAUGAAAUGAAAGAGAAUGAAGACCACACAUAGUUGACACUGGGCUGAAUAUGAGCCACUAGAUUGGAGUAUCAUAGAAUAUCCUGGGCUGAGGGAACUAUGUGAAAGACUGGGUUCUCUGGAGGACAAAGCAUGGAUAAUACAAACAGUGAAUAUAGAACAAGAAAAAAAGAUACCAACAAACACUGAAAUGUAAUCUAAGGUAAGUUACAAAGUGAAAAAAAAAGCACUAUGUAAUAUCAGUGUUUGAUGAGUCCUAUACUUUAUGAAAA